GAGAGAGGCCCGCUGGCACCGGAGACUGCUAAUCCUCGCCCCCUUGGUUGGACCCCAAGGCUCACUCG
rnacentral:tRNA from 1 species